GGCACAGUGCCAGAGUGGUUAAUGGGUUAGACUUGAACUCAGUUCAUGUCAUCUAAUGGCUUCGGCCUCGCAAGUUCGAAUCUUGUCUGUGUCG
rnacentral:tRNA from 1 species